rnacentral:rRNA from 1 species
GACGUAGGGGGCCAGCGUUGCUCGGAAUUACUGGGUGUAAAGGGUUCGUAGGCGGUGUGGCAAGUCGGGAGUGAAAUCUCUGGGCUCAACCCAGAGUCUGCUUCCGAAACUGCUGUGCUUGAGUGUGGGAGAGGCGCGUGGAAUUGCAGGUGUAGCGGUGAAAUGCGUAGAUAUCCGCAGGAACACCCGUGGCGAAAGCGGCGCGCUGGACCACUACUGACGCUGAGGCACGAAAGCGUGGGGAGCAAACAGG